rnacentral:tRNA from 1 species
CAGAGAAUAGUUUAAAUUAGAAUCUUGGCUUUGGGUGCUGAUGGUGAAGUUGAUUACUUUUUCUCUGA